UAGAGCGCCAGGAAGAGGCAGUUGGAGAAAAAGACUGGCAGGAUCUGCAGGGUGAUCAGCAAGUCUACGCUGAGGAGUCCCAUCUUCUCUGCCUCCUCGGGCGUGCCAGUCCCUAAUCCAGUUUACCCCUGUCAGAGUCCGUUAAAGACAGGAAGUUCUACUUUCAUUUCCAGGCACCUAUGAGACUGCAGAGAUGGUAAAAAUUUUCUUUUAGCUUUUCAUGUUCCUUUAAACGCUGUCUGGCUUCUUGCACUGCCAAUUUCUUAACUGUGCUGUAAGGGUAGGGGUUGUUUGGUUUGUUUGGGGUUUUUUUCUUUCUUUCUUUCUUUUUUUCUUUCUUUCUUUCGCUCUGUCUUUACUCCGUUGUAAACAUACUUUCUGUUCUCCUCCUCCCAGCCUGUCUCCCUCUGCCUGUCCUUUCUCCAGGUUCUCCAGGAGCGGCUGUCCUCUGCCCCCUCCCUCUGGCGUUUCCCUCUUUGCUAUCUUCUGCCUCCGCUGGCUGCAGAGAGAGGUGGUGCCUCUUGUGAGGAUGACAGCUGUCCAGAUACUGGAUUUCUGCCACCAUCUCAUUUCAAAGAGGCCACCAAACAGCUGUUAGGAGGCAAGAGUGUCCAUUUGCUACUGACCAGGGAAUUAUUCACCUCUGAAAAUAUCCAAAUUGUGGGAAUGUUAUGAACCAGGACUUCACAAAGAACAGAGCAGAAUACUGUCUCAUCAUGACGUGUGCACACUCCUCCAGGAUACAGAGGUCUCAGGAUGGACGAUUUGAACUCACCCUCUUCGGAGCCUGGCAUAACUGUCUUCUGAGAAGCUUCAUCUAGCAGCUGAUGGAAACACAUGCAGAGAUCCACAGCUAAACAAUAAGGGAGUUCGAGAAGUCUUGCAGAAGAGUUGGGAUGGAGGGAGAAUUAAGAGAGCUGGAGGACUGAAAGGACACCAUGUGACCCACAGAGUCAACUAAACUGGGGUCCCUGGGGCUAAUAGAGACUGAACCACCAGCCAAACAGUAUGCACAGGUUUGACCCCAGCUCCCUGCACAGAAGUAAGAGAUGUACAGCUUGUUCUUCAUGUGGGUGCCCUAACAAAUAGAAGUGGAGCUAUCUCUAACUCUGUUCCCUGCCUUUGAUUCCUUUCCCAUAGCUGGGCUGCCUUGUCUGGCCUCUGUGGGGGAGGAUGCUCUUAGUUAGCCCUGCUACAACUUGAUGUACCAGGAUGGGUUGGUAGUCAUAGCGGACCUCCCCUUCUUUGAGGUAAAGAGGAUGGGGAGUGGGUGAGGGGUGGGGUUAGAACUUGAAGAGAGGAGAGAAAGAGCUACAAUCAGGCUAUAAAGUGAAUAAUUGUUUCCAUUAGUGUACCCUUUAAUGACAUGAAGUACACAUACUGGCACAGAGUGAGAUUGCUUUUUAGAUCAUGAAAUGAUCUCAGUUUGCUCAUUCACACUCGUUGAAAGGAAUGUACCAUGAGGUAUGAGAGGAGAUUGCUUCCUAGAUCAUAAGAAUUUUCAGAUACAAGAAAUACAAUUAGUAAGAGCCCACACAGGUUCUCAAUACAAUGUCAACAUGCUUCAUAAUGUGUAGUUUUCAUUAGGAAAUCUCACUGGUUUGAGAAAUUAUGUAAAUUUAAAAAAUAAAAAUAGAAAUCAUAAGAAUAUAAAAGGUUUUAGUGAAAUUCAUGACAAUGGGUCUUGAUGCCUACUUUUCUAAAGUCAUUCUCCUCUCUAGGUUAUUAAAUGUCCCACAAGUAGCUGUCUUUCCCACUGGAAAUCUAGCAUCUUCUCAAUCACUUACAUUGAAGACCCCCAUCCCCCAAAUAGAUGUCUUAGAGAACUUUCUGGGAGAAAAUACAAUGCCCUGUCUCCAUUAUCAUUGAUGACUAGGUGACAUGUAGAAGGUGAAAAGGUGGUGUGUGUGUGUGUGUGUGUGUGUGUGUGUGUGUGUGUGUGUGUGCAUGUAUCUUCUUCUCUGCAUUUUCUCCAACUGAAGGUAUAAAGAUUUACCUGAUAUUAUUCUUGCAUCAUACACUUGCAUAUGCAUGUACAUUAAAUUAUGUAGUCAUGCGCUACUAUAUUAAAAAGCAUACUCCAAUAAUAUAUCUCAGUAUAUGAAAAUUGCUUUCUUUUCCUACAGUAUAUAAAAGUGCCAGGGCAAUCUGCUCUCUGUGCUCAGACACCAGAAAGCUAAACUUUGAGUGAUAUCCAACUUUAUGAGACACAUAAAGAUGAAAUAAAAAUGGGAAAGAAGAUAAACAUUUAAGGAGAUAAACACUGUCAAACAGAAAUGAUUACAAAGUUUGUAACAAUUUGUAUUUUUCAUUGUUUUCUGUGUACCUGGCUUUUCCACACUAUGAAUUUCUUUUGUUCAUUUCACCUUCUCUUAAUAUAUAAUGUUUGUUCCCAUAACCACGGACAUUAAAGUGAAGAAUGGGAGCCAAGACUCAGUUGAUAUUUAUUGAGAGAAAUAUAAGCAACUGGAAAAUGGAAAACUCUCCUUAUAUUAUUGAAUGCUUUGUCUAGCUACUUUCCUUUGAUAGCUCUGGAAAAUUGAACUCCUUUUCUAUACUGUCUGUGCCAUAUAGAAUCACCACAUUCAACCUAUUUUUAAUUUAUAAACUAGCAAUUCCCUAUUAUUUAAACAUAAUACAAUGUCAAAAAGCAGAAGGCAUGCUCACUGCUGUUGCAUCAGAGUUGUGUGUGUGUGUGUGUGUGUGUGUGUGUGUGUGUGUGUGUGUGUGUGUGUGUGUGUUUCUUGGUGAAAUGCAGAGAGGUAACAAGUUAUUGUUUCCAUUGGUGUACCCUUCCUAAAUGUUAAAUUUUUGUUUCAUUAAAUUUCAUCAUUUUAUGAUGAAAACAACAUUGUAACUUUUAGUGUUACCCAUCAAUAACUGUCAUUAGACUAAUACAACUCCCAAGAGAAAUCGCAUAUUAUUACAAAUUAUAUUCAUUAGUGUAUAAAAUAGAAACCAUAGAACCAUCUUCAAAACAACCUAACAUGUACAUUAGAUAUAUAAAAUAAUAGUCCUUAAAAACCCAGUAGGAUUCUAAGGUAGAAAAGUUUCUGUUUUUGUUUUUAGUUAAAAAUCAAUUGUGCUUACUGUGUAUUAGUAAGGAGGGGAGAGAACAGUGGACACACUUAGAGGUAAAUGAAAAAGAAGGCUGAAUGGGAGACCAACUAACAUAAACUUGCAUGAGACUGGGCUCUCAAGUAACUAAAAACCACCUGUGCUACAACCUAACCCUCUGAGGCUUUUCUUCUAUGUCUGAGAAGUUGAUAAAGUAGAUGAAAGAUCUUUAGAGUGCAGUGCAAUUCCUUCUCUGAGUAAGCAGUAUCUCUCUGCUCCUCUUAAGCCCACUUACUGUUAACAAGACCAUUAAAUGCUUGGAGUUCAAGUUAACCACUCGAUUCUAGGAUUCAUUUGGUGUGUUUCAUUGAGAAACAGUUAAAUAAAUUCCACAAAAUGU
rnacentral:lncRNA from 1 species